UUUCCGUAGGUGAACCUGCGGAAGGAUCAUUAGCGAAGUCAAGUCCGGACCCGUUGGGGAUUGUAGCUGGCCUAACGGCAAGUGCUCGUCCCUCGGGUACGUGACCUUCACUACCACACCCCACUGUGAACCAAGCGGGAGGUCGAAAGGCCUCUUGCAUCUUAUAUAAACCCCAAUUGCAUGUCUUAGAAUGUCAUAGCGUUAACUCGCAACUAUACAACUUUCAACAACGGAUCUCUUGGCUCUCGCAUCGAUGAAGAACGCAGC
rnacentral:misc_RNA from 1 species